rnacentral:rRNA from 1 species
GAUGAACGCUGGCGGCGUGCCUAAUACAUGCAAGUAGAACGCUGAAGCUUGGUGCUUGCACCGAGCGGAUGAGUUGCGAACGGGUGAGUAACGCGUAGGUAACCUGCCUCUUAGCGGGGGAUAACUAUUGGAAACGAUAGCUAAUACCGCAUAAAAGUCGAUAUCGCAUGAUAUUGAUUUGAAAGGUGCAAAUGCAUCACUAAUAGGUGGACCUGCGUUGUAUUAGCUAGUUGGUGAGGUAACGGCUCACCAAGGCGACGAUACAUAGCCGACCUGAGAGGGUGGACCGCCCACCUGGGACUGGGGCAAGGCCCAGAAUCCUACGGGAGGCAGCCGUAGGGAAUCUUCGGAAAUGGGGGCAAACCCGACCGAGCAACGCCGCGUGAGUGAAGAAGGUUUUCGGAUCGUAAAGCUCUGUUGUAAGAGAAGAAAGAGUGUGAGAGUGGAAAGUUCACACUGUGACGGUAACUAACCAGAAAGGGACGGCUAACUACGUG